CCAAGAGGCAGUGAUACUCUAACAAUGAGCACACCUAGCAUCCUAAUCUUGGUUUCUAAUACCAUUCUCCAACAAAAGGAACCAGAGCUCCUUGG